rfam:Solanum tuberosum cultivar DM 1-3 516 R44 scf00036_57, whole genome shotgun sequence.
CCGGUCACUGAUGAUGAUCUUGUCUUAUAUAUUCUUGAAGGACUUGGACAAGAAUAUGAUGUCGUGAUUGUCUCGAUUACUGCUAAGGCGGAAUCAAUAUCAUUGGAUGAUCUUCAUGGCUUGCUUUUAAGUCAUGAGU